rnacentral:rRNA from 1 species
UACGGAGGAUCCAAGCGUUAUCCGGAUUCAUUGGGUUUAAAGGGUGCGUAGGCGGCUUGUUAAGUCAGCGGUGAAAUCUCAGGGCUUAACCCUGAAACUGCCAUUGAUACUGACGAGCUUGAGUACACUUGAAGUGGGCGGAAUGUGUCGUGUAGCGGUGAAAUGCUUAGAUAUGACACAGAACACCGAUUGCGAAGGCAGCUCACUAAAUUGUCACUGACGCUGAGGCACGAAAGCGUGGGGAUCAAACAGG